rnacentral:rRNA from 1 species
GAUUGAACGCUGGCGGCAUGCCUUACACAUGCAAGUCGAACGGUAACGGGCCUUCGGGUGCCGACGAGUGGCGAACGGGUGAGUAAUACAUCGGAACGUGCCCGAUCGUGGGGGAUAACGAGGCGAAAGCUUUGCUAAUACCGCAUACGAUCUACGGAUGAAAGCAGGGGACCGCAAGGCCUUGCGCGGACGGAGCGGCCGAUGGCAGAUUAGGUAGUUGGUGGGAUAAAAGCUUACCAAGCCGACGAUCUGUAGCUGGUCUGAGAGGAUGAUCAGCCACACUGGGACUGAGACACGGCCCAGACUCCUACGGGAGGCAGCAGUGGGGAAUUUUGGACAAUGGGCGCAAGCCUGAUCCAGCCAUGCCGCGUGCAGGAUGAAGGCCUUCGGGUUGUAAACUGCUUUUGUACGGAACGAAAAGCCUUCUUUUAAUACAGGAGGGUCAUGACGGUACCGUAAGAAUAAGCACCGGCUAACUACGUG